UCGUCCGCGAAAAUUAAGCAUUGAAUUACUGUACAAAUCUCGGGUUGUUAGGUGUUAGAAUCCCUAGUUACCCGAAAAAUUUGAUUGGAUCCGAUACUUAGAAAUAACCAAUCAGAUACUUUGUAACAAAUGCAACACAAUCAGUGCGUUCAGUGUGUGUUGCCAGUAAUGGUUGAAGAUAUGCCAAACAAAUUGUGCCUCUCUAUACAGACAGAUUUCAGGUCUCAAUUUCAACUUCAAAGGUCAACAUAUCACUGAUAUCAGGAAUUCUGUGAAACUGUGGCACCAUGUAUGGUACGUGAGCGCACAAUGUCUGUUGGAAAAAGGAUAUUGGAAUAAGCAAAGGGACUCAACAUUACACAGUUAUUUCAACAUGUAGAGUCUUGUCAGCAAUGAUGGAGCAGUACAUCAGAUUUCCAGAAUCUCGUCAUGAGCUGAAGAUCAUUGCCUAUGGAUUUCAUGAAUGAUGUAGAAUGAUUGGACUGUUGAUGGAACCCACAGUGCAUGUCCUGCUUCAACAUCUGAGCAUAGGUCCUUGUUUAUCAGCAGUUUAGUUCUUCAAGCAGUCUGUGACAGUAACUUGAAAUGUUUGGACAUAUGACCUGGUUGGCCAAGUUCUGUGCAUGAUGCCCA